GCUGACGAGUGGCGGACGGGUGAGUAAUGUCUGGGAAACUGCCUGAUGGAGGGGGAUAACUACUGGAAACGGUGGCUAAUACCGCAUAACGUCGCAAGACCAAAGAGGGGGACCUUCGGGCCUCUUGCCAUCAGAUGUGCCCAGAUGGGAUUAGCUAGUUGGUGAGGUAACGGCUCACCAAGGCGACGAUCCCUAGCUGGUCUGAGAGGAUGACCAGCCACACUGGAACUGAGACACGGUCCAGACUCCUACGGGAGGCAGCAGUGGGGAAUAUUGCACAAUGGGCGCAAGCCUGAUGCAGCCAUGCCGCGUGUAUGAAGAAGGCCUUCGGGUUGUAAAGUACUUUCAGCGGGGAGGAAGGUGUUGUGGUUAAUAACCGCAGCAAUUGACGUUACCCGCAGAAGAAGCACCGGCUAACUCCGUGCCAGCAGCCGCGGUAAUACGGAGGGUGCAAGCGUUAAUCGGAAUUACUGGGCGUAAAGCGCACGCAGGCGGUCUGUCAAGUCGGAUGUGAAAUCCCCGGGCUCAACCUGGGAACUGCAUUCGAAACUGGCAGGCUUGAGUCUUGUAGAGGGGGGUAGAAUUCCAGGUGUAGCGGUGAAAUGCGUAGAGAUCUGGAGGAAUACCGGUGGCGAAGGCGGCCCCCUGGACAAAGACUGACGCUCAGGUGCGAAAGCGUGGGGAGCAAACAGGAUUAGAUACCCUGGUAGUCCACGCCGUAAACGAUGUCUACUUGGAGGUUGUGCCCUUGAGGCGUGGCUUCCGGAGCUAACGCGUUAAGUAGACCGCCUGGGGAGUACGGCCGCAAGGUUAAAACUCAAAUGAAUUGACGGGGGCCCGCACAAGCGGUGGAGCAUGUGGUUUAAUUCGAUGCAACGCGAAGAACCUUACCUGGUCUUGACAUCCACAGAACUUUCCAGAGAUGGAUUGGUGCCUUCGGGAACUGUGAGACAGGUGCUGCAUGGCUGUCGUCAGCUCGUGUUGUGAAAUGUUGGGUUAAGUCCCGCAACGAGCGCAACCCUUAUCCUUUGUUGCCAGCGGUUAGGCCGGGAACUCAAAGGAGACUGCCAGUGAUAAACUGGAGGAAGGUGGGGAUGACGUCAAGUCAUCAUGGCCCUUACGACCAGGGCUACACACGUGCUACAAUGGCGCAUACAAAGAGAAGCGACCUCGCGAGAGCAAGCGGACCUCAUAAAGUGCGUCGUAGUCCGGAUUGGAGUCUGCAACUCGACUCCAUGAAGUCGGAAUCGCUAGUAAUCGUGGAUCAGAAUGCCACGGUGAAUACGUUCCCGGGCCUUGUACACACCGCCCGUCACACCAUGGGAGUGGGUUGCAAAAGAAGUAGGUAGCUUAACCUUCGGGAGGGCGCUUACCACUUUGUGAUUCAUGACUGGGGUGAAGUCGUAACAAGGUAACCGUAGGGGAACCUGCGGUUGGAUCACCUCCUUACCUUAAAGAAGC
rnacentral:rRNA from 2 species